GACGUAGGGUGCAAGCGUUGUCCGGAUUUAUUGGGCGUAAAGAGCUCGUAGGCGGCUUGUCGCGUCAACUGUGAAAACCCGUGGCUCAACCAUGUGGUCUGCAGUCGAUACGGGCAGGCUAGAAUUCGGUAGGGGAGACUGGAAUUCCUGGUGUAGCGGUGAAAUGCGCAGAUAUCAGGAGGAACACCGGUGGCGAAGGCGGGUCUCUGGGCCGAUAUUGACGCUGAGGAGCGAAAGCGUGGGGAGCGAACAGG
rnacentral:rRNA from 1 species